GACGGAGGAUGCAAGCGUUAUCCGGAAUGAUUGGGCGUAAAGCGUCCGCAGGUGGCAGUUCAAGUCUGCUGUCAAAGUCCGGGGCUCAACCCCGGGAGGCGGGCGGAUACUGUCGGGCUAGAGUCCGGAAGAGGCGAGUGGAAUUCCUGGUGUAGCGGUGAAAUGCGUAGAUAUCUGGAGGAAUACCGGUGGCGAAGGCGGCAUCCUGGACCGGCAUUGACGCUGAGGAGCGAAAGCCAGGGGAGCAAACGGG
rnacentral:rRNA from 1 species